UCCCUUACACACAUGAGAGAGAGGGAGGAGCCGGCAGCAGAACUCGACACAAGUUCGCCUGAUCGGUGGUCGGGGAAUUGGUGGUGUGUAUGUGGGCUCUGUGAAGUAAUGGCCACCGAAACCAAGUGUUUGUGCUGCCUGGAAUGGGACCUUCAUCGUGAUCAAGAAUCCCAAGCACGGUGUGUUACAUUUCCCCUCCCUUAUAAAUCGGACAGUGCUACAAACUUUUUUACCAUGUCCCCCAAAUCAACCGGAAGCGGCAACCAACUCCAGCAGGACCAGACGGACAGCUAUCCGACAAACAGGACCUCCCAUAGCUGUCUGGCUGGGUGCCCGGGCUUCCACUAA
ensembl:lncRNA